rnacentral:rRNA from 1 species
AUUGAACGCUGGCGGCAUGCCUUACACAUGCAAGUCGAACGGCAGCACGGGUGCUUGCACCUGGUGGCGAGUGGCGAACGGGUGAGUAAUACAUCGGAACAUGUCCUGUAGUGGGGGAUAGCCCGGCGAAAGCCGGAUUAAUACCGCAUACGAUCUACGGAUGAAAGCGGGGGACCUUCGGGCCUCGCGCUAUAGGGUUGGCCGAUGGCUGAUUAGCUAGUUGGUGGGGUAAAGGCCUACCAAGGCGACGAUCAGUAGCUGGUCUGAGAGGACGACCAGCCACACUGGGACUGAGACACGGCCCAGACUCCUACGGGAGGUAGCAGUGGGGAAUUUUGGACAAUGGGCGAAAGCCUGAUCCAGCAAUGCCGCGUGUGUGAAGAAGGCCUUCGGGUUGUAAAGCACUUUUGUCCGGAAAGAAAUCCUUGGCCCUAAUACGGUCGGGGGAUGACGGUACCGGAAGAAUAAGCACCGGCUAACUACGUG